rnacentral:rRNA from 1 species
AACGAACGCUGGCGGCAUGCCUAACACAUGCCAGUCGAACGAGAUCUUCGGAUCUAGUGGCGCACGGGUGCGUAACGCGUGGGAAUCUGCCCCUUGCUUCGGAAUAACAGUGAGAAAUACUUGCUAAUACCGGAUGAUGUCCCCGGACCAAAGAUUUAUCGGCAAGGGAUGGGCCCGCGUAGGAUUAGGUAGUUGGUGGGGUAAUGGCCUACCAAGCCGACGAUCCUUAGCUGGUCUGAGAGGAUGAUCAGCCACACUGGGACUGAGACACGGCCCAGACUCCUACGGGAGGCAGCAGUGGGGAAUAUUGGACAAUGGGCGAAAGCCUGAUCCAGCAAUGCCGCGUGAGUGAUGAAGGCCUUAGGGUUGUAAAGCUCUUUUACCAGGGAUGAUAAUGACAGUACCUGGAGAAUAAGCUCCGGCUAACUCCGUG